ACACAAGGUGUUUAUAAAUAAUUUAUGAAUGCAUUCAGGUCUGUUCCUGGAAGCAUGCGAGUCUUUUCUUUUCUGUUGUGCACCAUGGCAACACAACAGGAAGAGAGUGUGGUGGAGAGGAAGUAACAUGGAUGACAGCUGCAACCGUUAUCGAGAGGAAGAAGAAGAAGAAUCCAGGAAGUAACGAUUCUUCUAAAAAGGAAUCCAGGAAGUAAGUGCAGCGUGCUUCGUCCUGUUUCUCCUGUGUGCUACGCUUAACGUUGACUUUUUCCACCAUCUGUAAACGUUAAGCGUAGUACACAGGAGAAACAGGACGUUUCAGAAGAACACUCAAUCCCAAGGCUGGAUGCCAGGAAGGAUGCCAUAACACAAAUAACCAACUUUUAUCGCUGUGGUGAGCAGAAAAGCAUCUCAGAACGUUUAAAGAAUGAGGAAGAAGAGCUACAACAGAAGAAGACCAGACUGAGUUCCACUGCUGGCCCCAGAACAGCAAUCUGAGGCUUUUUUUUAUUAAUUCACAUGGUUCACACUGUAAUCAUAUAUUUUUUACCUUAUAUAAUAAAAUGUAGGGGGCACGGUGGCUUAGUGGUUAGCACGUUCGCCUCAAACCUCCAGGGUUGGGGGUUCGAUUCCCGCCUCCACCUUGUGUGUGUGGAGUUUGCAUGUUCUCCCCGUGCCUCGGGGGUUUCCUCCGGGUACUCCAGUUUCCUCCCCCGGUCCAAAGACAUGCAUGGUAGGUUGAUUGGCAUCUCUGGAAAAUUGUCCGUAGUGUGUGAUCGCGUGAGUAAAUGAGAGUGUGUGUGUGUGUGCGCCCUGCGAUGGGUUGGCACUCCGUCCAGGGUGUAUCCUGCCUUGAUGCCCGAUGACACCUGAGAUAGGCACAGGCUCCCCGUGACCCGAGGUAGUUCAGAUAAGCGGUAGAAGAUGAAUGAGUGAAUGAAUAAUAAAAUGUCUGCGUUGUCCUGGAAUUCGUGGAUCAUCAUUACAUACAAUAAACAUUCUUUUAUUUUAUUAUUAUUUCACAUUUCAUUCUAUUCCUUCUAUGUUUCCAUCUAUUUAUCUUCUCUAGUGUUUAUCCUGUACAGAGUCACAGGGAACCUGGAGUCUAUCCCAGGAGACUCUUGGUUGAGGUACCAACACACACACACACACACUAACACAAUAUGGACAAUUUAGAGAUCGUCAACGUUCUACAGUACAUGUAUUUGGACUGGAGAAGGAAACCGGAGUACGAGCCAGAAUUAUAGCAGCUGGAAUGGAAGUGAGAAGAAGAAUGAACUUGUUCUGAGAUGUUCCUCUAUGUAACUAUAAACGGAUAAAAAAGUACACUUGUCCUGA